rnacentral:rRNA from 1 species
GGAUGAACGCUGGCGACGUGCCUAAUACAUGCAAGUCGAGCGAACAGACCAUGAUCUUGCUCCUCUGACGUUAGCGGCGGACGGGUGAGUAACGCGUGGAUCACCUACCUAUCAUACUGGUAUAACUUCGGGAAACCGGAUCUAAUACCAGAUAACAUGUUGAACCGCGUGGUUCAACAGUGAAAUUACGGUCUUGCUGUCACUUAUACAUGGAUCCGCGCCUCAUUAGCUAGUUGGUGAGGUAACGGCUUACCAAGGCAACGAUGCGUAGCCAACCUGACAGGGUGAUCUGCCACACUGAAACUGACACACCGCCCACACUCCUACGGGAGGCAGCAUAAUGGAAUCUUCCGCAAUGGCCGAAAGCCUGACGGAGCAACGCCGCGUGAGUGAAUAAGGUCUUCGGAUCGUAACACUCUGUUAUUAGGGAAGAACAAAUGUGUGAGUAACUAUGCACGUCUUGACUGUACCUAAUCAGACAGCCACGGCUAACUACGUGCCAGCAGCCGCGGUAAUACGUAGGUGGCAAGCGUUAUCCGGAAUUAUUGGGCGUAAAGCGCGCGUACGCGGUUUUUUAAGUCUGAUGUGAAAUCCCACGGCUCAGCCGUGGAGGGUCAUUGGAAACUGGAAAACUUGAGUGCAGAAGAGGAAAGUGGAAUUCCAUGUGUAGCGGUGAAAUGCGCAGAGAUAGGGAGGAACACCAGUGGCGAAGGCGACUUUCUGGUCUGUAACUGACGCUGAUGUGCGAAAGCGUGGGGAUCAAACAGGAUUAGAUACCCUGGUAGUCCACGCCGUAAACGAUGAGUGCUAAGUGUUAGGGGGUUUCCGCCCCUUAGUGCUGCAGCUAACGCAUUAAGCACUCCGCCUGGGGAGUACGACCGCAAGGUUGAAACUCAAAGGAAUUGACGGGGACCCGCACAAGCGGUGGAGCAUGUGGUUUAAUUCGAAGCAACGCGAAGAACCUUACCAAAUCUUGACAUCCUCUGACCCCUCUAGAGAUAGAGUUUUCCCCUUCGGGGGACAGAGUGACAGGUGGUGCAUGGUUGUCGUCAGCUCGUGUCGUGAGAUGUUGGGUUAAGUCCCGCAACGAGCGCAACCCUUAAGCUUAGUUGCCAUCAUUAAGUUGGGCACUCUAAGUUGACUGCCGGUGACAAACCGGAGGAAGGUGGGGAUGACGUCAAAUCAUCAUGCCCCUUAUGAUUUGGGCUACACACGUGCUACAAUGGACAAUACAAAGGGUAGCGAAACCGCGAGGUCAAGCAAAUCCCAUAAAGUUGUUCUCAGUUCGGAUUGUAGUCUGCAACUCGACUACAUGAAGCUGGAAUCGCUAGUAAUCGUAGGUCAGCAUGCUACGGUGAAUACGUUCCCGGGUCUUGUACACACCGCCCGUCACACCACGAGAGUUUGUAACACCCGAAGCCAGCGGAGUAACCUUUUGGAGCUAGCCGUCGAAGGUGG